rnacentral:rRNA from 1 species
CCUACGGGAGGCAGCAGUGAGGAAUAUUGGUCAAUGGGCGUAAGCCUGAACCAGCCAAGUCGCGUGAGGGAUGAAGGUUCUAUGGAUCGUAAACCUCUUUUAUAAGGGAAUAAAGUGCGGGACGUGUCCCGUUUUGUAUGUACCUUAUGAAUAAGGAUCGGCUAACUCCGUGCCAGCAGCCGCGGUAAUACGGAGGAUCCGAGCGUUAUCCGGAUUUAUUGGGUUUAAAGGGUGCGUAGGCGGCCUGUUAAGUCAGCGGUGAAAGUCUGUGGCUCAACCAGAGAAUUGCCGUUGACACUGGGAGGCUUGAGUAUGUGUGAGGCAGGCGGAAUGCGUGGUGUAGCGGUGAAAUGCUUAGAUAUCACGCAGAACCCCGAUUGCGAAGGCAGCUUGCCAAGCCAUGACUGACGCUGAUGCACGAAAGCGUGGGGAUCAAACAGGAUUAGAUACCCCAGUAGUC